AGCAGCGUGGCUUAGUGGUCUGAGCAUUGGAUUAGGACUCUGAAGACCAGGAUUUGACUCCUGACUCAGCUA